UACGUAGGUGGCAAGCGUUGUCCGGAUUUACUGGGCGUAAAGAGCGCGCAGGCGGUCGUUCAAGUCGCGUGUGAAAGCCCCCGGCUCAACUGGGGAGGGUCACGCGAUACUGAUCGACUCGAAGGCAGGAGAGGGAAGUGGAAUUCCCGGUGUAGUGGUGAAAUGCGUAGAUAUCGGGAGGAACACCAGUGGCGAAGGCGACUUCCUGGCCUGUUCUUGACGCUGAGGCGCGAAAGCUAGGGGAGCAACGG
rnacentral:rRNA from 1 species